AGCCUGAACGCUGGCGGCGUGGCUAAGACAUGCAAGUCGUACGGAGGCCGCAAGGCCUCAGUGGCGAACGGGUGAGUAAUGUAUCGCUAACGUACCCCUGUGUCCGGGAUAGCCGGGGGAAACUCCGGGUAAUACCAGAUGACAUCACUGUCCCGCAUGAGACAGUGCUCAAAGGGCAACCGCACAGGGGAGCGGGGCGAGUAUACGGUAUCAGCUAGUUGGUGGGGUAACGGCCCACCAAGGCGACGACGCGUAGCCGGGCUGAGAGGUCGGCCGGCCACAUUGGGACUGAGACACUGCCCAGACUCCUACGGGGGCUGCAGUAACGAAUCUUCCGCAAUGCACGCAAGUGUGACGGAGCGACGCCGCGUGGUGGACGAAGCCCUUCGGGGUGUAAACCCUCUGUCAGGGGCAGGAAAGUUCUGACUCCGCCCAGAGGAAGGCACGGCUAACUCUGUGCCAGCAGCCGC
rnacentral:rRNA from 1 species